AAUUUGAUCUUGGUUCAGGACGAACGCUGGCGGCACGCUUAACACAUGCAAGUCGAACGGAGAACUUUGGUUACUGAGAGUUCUUAGUGGCGGACGGGUGAGUAACACGUGAGCAACCUGCCUCUGAGAGGGGGAUAGCUUCUGGAAACGGAUGGUAAUACCCUAUAAUAUAAUUGAACCGCAUGAUUUGAUUAUCAAAGAUUUAUCACUCAGAGAUGGGCUCGCGUCUGAUUAGAUAGUUGGUGAGGUAACGGCUCACCAAGUCGACGAUCAGUAGCCGGACUGAGAGGUUGAACGGCCACAUUGGGACUGAGACACGGCCCAGACUCCUACGGGAGGCAGCAGUGGGGAAUAUUGCACAAUGGGGGAAACCCUGAUGCAGCGAUGCCGCGUGGAGGAAGAAGGUUUUCGGAUUGUAAACUCCUGUCUUAAAGGACGAUAAUGGCGGUACUUUAGGAGGAAGCUCCGGCUAACUACGUGCCAGCCGCCGC
rnacentral:rRNA from 1 species